UACGUAGGGGGCAAGCGUUGUCCGGAAUUAUUGGGCGUAAAGAGCGUGUAGGCGGUCCGGUAAGUCAGCUGUGAAAGUCAAGGGCUCAACCCUUGAAAGCCGGUUGAUACUGUCGGGCUAGAGUCCGGAAGAGGCGAGUGGAAUUCCCGGUGUAGCGGUGAAAUGCGCAGAUAUCGGGAGGAACACCAAUGGCGAAGGCAGCUCGCCGGGACGGUACUGACGCUGAGACGCGAAAGCGUGGGGAGCAAACAGG
rnacentral:rRNA from 1 species